GUUUAGCUGACGAGUUUGCCUUUCGGCAAACAUCGCAUUAUUGUAUGCGGUUUGUAAACAAACCGCUUGAAAAAACUUUUUUCGCAAAUUAAUAUUUGCUGCAAAAAGUUUUUAUAGGA
rfam:Treponema denticola ATCC 35405, complete genome.